rnacentral:rRNA from 1 species
UACGGGGGGGGCAAGCGUUGUUCGGAAUUACUGGGCGUAAAGGGCCAGUAGGCGGCCAACUAAGUCCGACGUGAAAUCCCAAGGCUUAACCUUGGAACUGCGUCGGAUACUGGAUGGCUUGAAUUCGGGAGAGGGAUGCAGAAUUCCAGGUGUAGCGGUGAAUGCGUAGAUAUCUGGAGGGAAUACCGGUGGCGAAGGCGGCAUCCUGGACCGACAUUGACGCUGAACGGCGAAAGCUAGGGG